UCCCUAACCUUCUGUGAACCUACCUAUCGUUGCUUCGGCGGACUCGCCCCAGCCCGGACGCGGACUGGACCAGCGGCCCGCCGGGGACCUCAAACUCUUGUAUUCCAGCAUCUUCUGAAUACGCCGCAAGGCAAAACAAAUGAAUCAAAACUUUCAACAACGGAUCUCUUGGCUCUGGCAUCGAUGAAGAACGCAGCGAAACGCGAUAAGUAAUGUGAAUUGCAGAAUCCAGUGAAUCAUCGAAUCUUUGAACGCACAUUGCGCCCGCCAGCAUUCUGGCGGGCAUGCCUGUUCGAGCGUCAUUUCAACCCUCGACCUCCCCUUGGGGAGGUCGGCGUUGGGGACCGGCAGCACACCGCCGGCCCUGAAAUGGAGUGGCGGCCCGUCCGCGGCGACCUCUGCGCAGUAAUACAGCUCGCACCGGAACCCCGACGCGGCCACGCCGUAAAACACCCAACUUCUGAACGUUGACCUCGAAUCAGGUAGGACUACCCGCUGAACUUAAGCAUAUCAA
rnacentral:rRNA from 1 species